rnacentral:rRNA from 1 species
AUGCAGCUGGACGAUGCGUGUUGCAGGAUCACAGAUAGUGCAGGCAUUGGUGGUAAUCUGCUUCUACUUUCUGUAUGGAGCUGAGAGCGUCUGCCUGUUGGACGCCGCAGUUUUAAUCCUUGGUAUGAAGAUGUACAUGACGAAUUACGGCGCCCCACUUGGGCUUACAAGUGGGAUAUGGUUUCCGAGAUGACGAACAAUGUCAAUCUCAUGUACCAAAAGUACAUUGCCGAGUUGGACACGAUUACGCCUGAGCAGGUAAGGAGGUCAUUACUUCAGUCCUUUCUCAUGCCUGCUUGA